rnacentral:lncRNA from 1 species
UUUAUUUCCCUUCCCCUUCUUGGAUGAAGGUUGAAGGGAUUUCCACAAAAUACAUUUGGAGGAGCCAAGCCUUCAACACCAGCAGUUUUCUGUCAGAGUGUUGGAAUGAUCAAUAAAUCGGCACUGACUGAUCUCAGAGUCUGAGGAUGUCUAUGAGGCACAAGCAGCUCUUUUAGAUAUCUCAGAGAUGUCUUGAUGCUCAUCACCAAUUAAGAUGCUGAAGUCAACUCCCCACUGCAGAAGACCACCAUAAAUCAACACUUUAAGUGAAGGAGGUAGAAAAAGGGAAGGAAGCAUUUCAAAGAAAAAAUAUUUUAAGAGGGGCCUAACUUCACUUCCAUAUGAAGUCAGAGCUUGGUGUGAACUGGUGGAGCACACAGGAGGUGAGUAUUCAAGAGCAGUCAGGCAGCAUCUUCAGCUUCUGCCUUGGUGGGAGAUGAAGCCAGGUGUCUCCACAUUGUAUCUACACCCUUUUCCUCAUUCCACAUCUGACUCUGACUGACCAGAAGGGAAUGGAGGUAGGAAUAAGCCAUAGAGAAAAUGCUGAGACCCAGAAAUAAGUCAGUCCCCUCCCUGAGCCAAUGUCUAUGUGUGGGCUGUGUGUUGCAUAUGUAUUUUCUGUGGCAGACUUGGACUCCUUUGAGCUUGGCGCAUUCUGGUUAAGAUGAACUCAGCAUCCAAAUGUUGACACAAAAGCUGACUACACCAUAAACCAUGGCCCCAUG